AAAGCGUGCGCAGGCGGUUAUAUAAGACAGAGGUGAAAUCCCCGGGCUCAACCUGGGAACUGCCUUUGUGACUGUAUGGCUAGAGUGUGUCAGAGGGGGGUAGAAUUCCACGUGUAGCAGUGAAAUGCGUAGAUAUGUGGAGGAAUACCGAUGGCGAAGGCAGCCCCCUGGGAUAACACUGACGCUCAUGCACGAAAGCGUGGGGAGCAAACAGGAUUAGAUACCCCAGU
rnacentral:rRNA from 1 species